AACUGUAACCAUCAGACUUGUAGGCAUCAGAUCCUGCAAGAUCUCGGAAGCUAAGCAGAGUCCGCUCUGGUUAGUAUUUGGAUGGGGAAGACAACCGGGGCAUCCCGUGUGCUUUAGUGC
rnacentral:rRNA from 11 species